GCAUAGCAGAAAACAAGGAAGCCAACAAGUUUAUAUCCCACAAAUGAUUAGGGCCAAUUAAAUUUUGUAAUUAAAGGUUUGGGCUACAAGCUUGAACAUUGAUAUAAGUAGGAUAUUAAAUAAGAGGAGUUAUAGAUAACUAAGGGUCCAUAAGGACAUUGAUGUUAGCAUCCAUCUCAAUUGUCCAAAGAAAAUGGCCUC
rnacentral:lncRNA from 1 species